GCCGGGGUAGCUCAGCUGGGAGAGCGUCCGGCUGAAGACCGGAUGCCGCGGGCCGGCCGGAGUGUCGUGGGUUCAAGUCCCACCCCCGGCA
rnacentral:tRNA from 1 species